GGACUACCCGGGUAUCUAAUCCCGUUUGCUCCCCUGGCUUUCGCGCCUCAGCGUCAGAAGAGGUCCAGUCCGCCGCUUUCGCCACCGGCGUUCCUUCCGAUAUCUACGCAUUUCACCGCUCCACCGGAAGUUCCGCAGACCCCUACCUCCCUCGAGGCCGCCAGUAUCAGAGGCACUUUUCCGGUUGAGCCGAAAGAUUUCACCCCUGACUCGACAGCCCGCCUACGCGCCCUUUAAGCCCAGUGAUUCCGAAUAACGUUCGCACGGUUCGUCUUACCGCGGCGGCUGGCAC
rnacentral:rRNA from 3 species